rnacentral:rRNA from 1 species
GGGGACAACAGCCAGAAAUGGCUGCUAAUACCGCAUAAUCCUGCGCUGCCGCAUGGCAGCGCAGGGAAAACUUCGGUGGUACAGGAUGGUCCCGCGUCUGAUUAGCUUGUUGGCGGGGUAACGGCCCACCAAGGCGACGAUCAGUAGCCGGCUUGAGAGGGCGGACGGCCACAUUGGGACUGAGACACGGCCCAGACUCCUGCGGGAGGCAGCAGUGGGGAAUAUUGCACAAUGGGGGGAACCCUGAUGCAGCAAUGCCGCGUGGGUGAAGAAGUACCCCGGUAUGUAAAGCCCUGUCAGCAGGGAAGAAAAUGACGGUACCUGACUAAGAAGCCCCGGCUAACUACGUGCCAGCAGCCGCGGUAAUACGUAGGGGGCGAGCGUUAUCCGGAUUUACUGGGUGUAAGGGGAGCGCAGGCGGCGUGGCAAGUCAGAUGUGAAAACCCGGGGCCCAACCCCGGGACUGCAUUUGAAACUGCCAUGCUGGAGUGCCGGAGAGGCAAGUGGAAUUCCUAGUGUAGCGGUGAAAUGCGUAGAUAUUAGGAGGAACACCAGUGGCGGAGGCGGCUUGCUGGACGGUAACUGACGCUGAGGCUCGAAAGCGUGGGGAGCAAACAGGAUUAGAUACCCUGGUAGUCCACGCCGUAAACGAUGAA